rnacentral:rRNA from 1 species
GACAGAGGUGCCGAGCGUUAGGCGGAAUCACUGGGCUUAAAGCGUGUGUAGGCGGGUCGUUAAGUGUCUUGUGAAAUCCCCCGGCUCAACCGGGGAAUGGCUGGGCAUACUGGCGAUCUUGAGCAGUCUAGGGGCAGAUGGAACAAGUGGUGGAGCGGUGAAAUGCGUAGAUAUCACUUGGAACGCCAACGGUGAAGACAGUCUGCUGGGGACUUGCUGACGCUGAGACACGAAAGCCAGGGGAGGCGAACGGG